rnacentral:misc_RNA from 1 species
GAACUGCGAUAAGUAAUGUGAAUUGCAGAAUUUAGUGAAUCAUCGAGUCUUUGAACGCACAUUGCGCCCCCUGGCAUUCCGGGGGGCAUGCCUGUCCGAGCGUCAUUGCUGCCCUUCAAGCCCGGCUUGUGUGUUGGGUCGUCGUCCCCUCCGGGGGACGGGCCCGAAAGGCAGCGGCGGCACCGCGUCCGGUCCUCGAGCGUAUGGGGCUUUGUCACCCGCUCGAUAAGGACCGGCCGGGCGCCAGCCGGCGUCUCCAACCUUUUUUUCUCAGGUUGACCUCGGAUCAGGUAGGGAUACCCGCUGAACUUAAGC